rnacentral:misc_RNA from 1 species
UUUGUCAUACAUGUCUUCUUACAAUUUAUCUAAAGAACAUUAAAAAUAUAUUAAAACUAAUCAGAGGAAAAGAUAAAUGAAUUUUGAAAUUAAAUACUUCAUUCUAACUAUUGUAAUUUGCAUAAUUGCUGCUAUAAAGUUUGAUUUGUGGAAUUAUUGUUCUUUAAGCUUUUAUUCAACCUAUUUUAAAGAUUCAACAUCUAACAGCAAUGAACUUGAUCUUGUUAUUGGUAUCCUGUCUAGUCAAGAUAAUUUUGAAGAAAGAAAUGCAAUAAGACAUACAUGGCUCUCAAGUGUCAAGGGAAAUUUAAGAGACAGAGUUAAAGCAUGGUUUGUGGUUGGGAAUGAUUUCUGUGAUAUUCCACCACAAUCCAGAGUAGAUCUGUAUUCAUGUAAUCGAUGGAAGAUUAAUGUCACUGAAAUUACAAAAACAAAGACUUUUUCAACAUGCACAGCCAAAAUGCUGGAGCCUUGUCAACAACAGCCUGUCCAUCAAGGAUUUAUUUUUCAGGUUUUACAUUCAAUAAUUGUGGAAAAAUUGGGUGUGCUGGAAGAUUCCCUCAUUACUGGGGAAAAUGUCACAGUAACCCUUCUUGAUGCUGCUACAAGGGUGAAAGUCACAGUGGCAAACUUCAGUGGUGAAAAACCAGGAAGGAUUAUAAAUGGCUACAUUUACAGACCAGUGCAACAGUACAUACUGCCCAAGGGAUUUUUUGGGCUACUGCUAGUGGAAGGUGUUACAGUACCCAGUGUCUGUAGAGUUACAGAAUUCAAUAAUGGAGUGGUAAGCAUCAAAAAGAUUUACGGAUCAUUGAGUAAUUCAGAAGAACAUGCUGUGGCAACUAGUUUUAUUUUCAGAGUUCAUGAUAUUGCAGAGUUAGAGAAGCAUGUCAGUGAACAAAACAGCAGGUCAGAAGAAUGGAUAAAAAUAAUAAACAACACAAAAAUGAAGUUGAAUGAAGAAGUAGAGAAGUCGGAUGACAUGAUAUUAAUAGAUACAGUUGAUGUGUAUAGAAACCUUCCUCAAAAAGUUGUCAAGUUCUUUCAAUGGCUAAACAAGACCCAAAGUUUUUCCUUUGUACUGAAAACCGAUGAUGAUUGCAUGAUAGAUAUACAUGCUGUUUUAGAAAGGUUAAACCAGGACCAAAACUUCCACAGUCCCAAAGUAUGGUGGAGCAGGUUUCGCAGCGAGUACCCAGUUGAAUUGUAUGGAAAGUGGGGUGAAUGGGAUUACACCUCUCCUGUGUAUCCAGUCUUUGCUUGUGGAGCAGGCAGUGUUUUGUCCAGAGAUUUGGUGUCAUGGAUUACACAGAAUACUGAAACUUUAUACAACUAUCAGGGAGAAGAUGUUUCUAUGGGCAUUUGGCUUUCUGCUGUAAAACCAUCAUAUGUGCAGGAUAUGAGGUGGAAUUGUGACCACAGCUACACAAAGGAUUGUCUUAAUAGAGCCGAACUUAAUGUUACUGAAAUGUAUAGGAUAUGGAAGAGUUAUGAAAGCUGUGGAAGUCUUUGCUGUGAGGAUUGAGAGAUCUAUGCAACAACUGGAGCGAUGCAGUUAAUAAAAAUUGAUCAGAUGGUGAUUAUACCUGUACUGAGGUUUCUUCCUAAGUCAGUUUACUUCAAAGUACCAGUUAUAAUAUUAUAUAAACUGUUAAAGCUUGAAAUGUACAAGUAACAUAUAUAUACCUUAUUGGUGGACACGCUGAUGCUCUUCACAUUGUUAUUAACUGAGAAAGGAACAGAGGAAAAGGGAAGUCAAGAAAUAACUAUUCAUGCUGAUUCAGCCUGAAAAAAUAGGAACAUUCUGGAUUAUUUUUAAUAAUAGGACACUUUAUGAAAAAUAAAGUUUAAGUCACAGAACUUGU